CCUCUUUCCUUCUUCAUUUUUCCUCGCUAUGAACAAAAUGCCAUCGUUUUUGUCUGUACACAGUUUUCCACUUUUCUCCAUUUCUUUACGCAACAUCCAUGCUCGCAAGCCUCUCUUCGUUAUCACUUCCAAACAAAUUACGUCCACCAGAAUUCUUUUUCUUCUGCUAUUUUUUGUGUAUGUAAUCUGCUUCAUGUUGCAUAUUGGUAAUAUAUUUUUUGUAGGCAGUAAAUGGCGGUGGUGUUGCAGUCAAAAGACGUGCUAAAAGCCUAGAAUGGGCUUAUAGAGGAGAAGGCGCAGUGAAUCUGGUUCUUGCUUAUUCUGGAAAAUCUGCUUAUUUUUUGCAGACCCACGUGAUCUCUCUCAAAAGUUGUUCCUGAUGUCGUUUCCGGUUUCCAUCCAUCACUAUUCAACUAAAAGGCCGAGUUUCGAUGAGUCAUUCUUCCGAGUGAUCGAAAUCGAGAUUCAGCGUGCCCAGGAGAGCGAGGACGAUGACGAGGUUUUAUUUCUUUUAUCUUUUUAAUAUCUUUAUGUAAAUAACUUGUCUUUGUUAUGUGGAUAGAUUGCAAGAAAACGAUGGAAAAUAAGGGGUGAUGUAUUCAAUUUCCUUUUGAAAUUGAAUACCAUCCUCGACAACAAACCAUAACCCUAGCCAGAGAAUAUCAGGAUGAAGCUAUCAUUCUAUACUGUGCGUUUUACUGCAAUUCCUCGGUGGCUUCAAGUAAUGCUAAGUGGAAAGUUUUUUCAAUUCUUCUGCAACUUAUUGAGAAUUUUCAGAUAAGAAGGUAUGUUUAUGAAGAUGUUUUUGUGCUUAAAAGAUGCAUAGAAAUUUGUGGUCGGUUACCUUUGGAAAUAAGUUAUAAUGUCUUUUCUGAUAUGGUGCGAUCGUUUUCUCACUUUCUGAUUUACAGUCUUGCACAAAGUUGUAUCAUAUUAUGAAAAUUGAAUGAUUGGGCGUAGGAAGUAUAGUGACAGUGGAUUGACCAGCUUUUUAUAUAGAGUUUGAUUUGUUAUUUCUUUAAUGGCGAUCAAUCUCCUCUUUCAUAAAAUAUGGAAAUGGAAGAGCCAUAAAUUGACAAACUAAAACCUGGUCCAGUGAAUUUCAUUAUAUAUAUGGAACAUAAAAUAUGGAUGUUAAGUUGAAAUUAUUGAAUUUUUAUUUU